ensembl:lncRNA
AUGCCAACAGGUGGCGCUGUUUUCUUCCCCAAUUACGCCUUUGUUUUCUCAUUGGCAUCCUGUUUGUUUUGGACUAGUCCCCUCGCCCGCUGGACAAGAGCCAGGGGGAGUUUUUAUGUGUGUGGGCUGGUUUUUCCACCAACAUCGCUUCUCAAAGCCUCCUCAGACAGAGCCAGAAACGAUAAGCUCGCAAUGACGACAGAGAAGCUGCUCUCUGCGUUUGUUGCCUCCGAGUAUGUGUUCUCUGACCUCCAGCUUUUUCAAGAUCUGCUCCGCAAGGACGUCUUCAACCCCCGUCGUCUCGGUGGAUUAGAGCAGGUACUUUUUCAAAAGAGAGAAAGAGAGAGGGCGAGUCACUUUGAUACCCCCUGACUGAGAGGGGCAUUGGUGCAACAGAGCGGGGCCCCAUCCCAGAAUCCCCUACUUUUCCCUCAUUAUCUCCUUCCCCAAGCUGCUGUUCCUCUUCCCCUGGAUGUUAUCUUCAGCUGCUUAUGCCCUAAUACCACAAUUGUUGUUCUCUAAAAACAAUCAUUAGCAAUCCCAUUGAGGCUGAGGGGUUUUUAGCAGCUUUCUCUCUCUCUCCCGAUGAUUUCUCCUAGCUCUUUAUCUCUCCCUCCUCUUUUUUUCCCUCCUGAAAACAGAGGGAUAUUGGCAAAGCCUCUUUAAACUCUCUAGCAUUACGGUGGAUUAUUUUGUGCUGAGACCCUUGGACAUGUUUUUUUUUUCUUUCUCUGUCUUUUAUUAUUUUCCUCACUUCAUGGCUGAGGCAGACACGCUAGGUAAACAUUUUGGCGUCACACUCGAUUGCGUCCCAGAAAUUAAAAAACGCAGAGACAAUGGCCCGGGACACUGACACGCUAAGACCUUGGCUCUGGGGGGAUGGCUUGCACGCCGCAUGACAGCACGGCCCUGGCGGGCAGAACAAUGCCGGCCCGCGUUCUUUGGUGUGUGCGCUCAGAGCGCCGCGCUUUAGACUAUCUGCUCUAGGCCAUCUGUCUAUCCUCCUCCUCUUCUCUCACCCCACUGCCACGGCGGAUUUGAACUUGGCUCAAUUAUUCAUCUGUUUACAAACACGAGCGCAAACAGAACAGUUGGAUCAGUUGGGCGUGGGCCUUUUUUGGGGGGCACUGAUACUGAAAGUUUUCCCAAAGGCGGCGCAGUGUAAGAGAUUUAUUCUGCGCUUGCAUGUACUCAAGCGGCGACCUGCUUCAACGACGGCAGACGUGCCACAAUAUGUGUUGUGCUUAUGAGCUUAAGUGGACAGCUGUUUAUGGAUACAAGUCAAUAGCUUCACUUAAAUAGUAAAAAAAUUGCUUAUCCUUCAGUUUUAUAUCUUAUUGUGGCUUCAAGUAUGACAUUGUUGUGUCUGACUGCUGAUUUAUUGAUCUUAUUUGUGACAAAUAAAGAGUUGUAGUGGUUGACCUAUGCAGGGCUAGGCUGCUAUUGCUGAUACACCAGAGUACAUUCUCCCUACUGCCUAUAGAGGGCACUAUAACAUUAUACUGUUACUAUAACAUAAUGAUUUGUUUGAAUAAUCAAAAGUCAAACUUUCUUUCAUUCCCAACAGUGACCGUUUUCUGUGUUUAUAUGUAUAAAUUCCUGUUAAUAUUUAGGUCAUUUUUAAAUUCAGUUAAAAAAAAUAUAAUGCAUUAUUUUUAGUAGAUUAAAAAAGCUGUUUAGCAUAACAUUCUUUUGGCCAUUUUCAUGAAAAAAAAAAAAAAAAAUAACCAUACAUACUCUAUCAUUCAAAAGUUUGUGGUCUGUGAUAAUUUUUAAAAUGUUUUAAAGAAAACCUUUUAAAGAAUCCGUUUUUGAAAUUUUCUUCUGAAAUAAGCCUUUUUUCAGCAAUUUCACUUUAAUGGCAAUGAAUAGGUUCUUUUCAUAAACAUAAACAUUGGUGCCUGAGAAAAAUGCUCAUUUUGGAAGGAAAUUUCAGAGGCUUUUGCAUCUAAACUCUUCAUAUACAGUGCCCUCCAUAAGUAUUGGAACAGUAAAGAUAAAAUUGUUCUGUUUGCUGUGGAGUCAAGAAAUCUGUAAAUAUGAUUAAAAGAUGAAUAUGAGACAAAACUACAGAAUGUCACAUUUUGUUAUUGGGUGAUUCAACACAAAGAUGUUUUACCAGCUAAGAAGAUCCGCACUUUUAGAGUUUCAUCCCUCUAUCUGAUGUGAGCAUAAGUUUUGGAACAGUUGCCUCACAGGUCUUUCUAAACAGCUGUGUCCUGAUGCAUUAAUUCUUCAGAUAUUAAAAGCAGGGAAUGUGUCUUAUCAGUUAUAUCCAUUGCUUCUGCAUUCUAAGUCUUGCAUUCGACAAUGACACACACAAACCAGGAUGAAGACGAGGAAGCCGACUCUGAAAGAAAAGCAAGCAAUUUGGAUGCUAAAAGAAAAGAGGUAGUCAAUUAGAACUAUAGGAAAAACAAAGUGCAUGGAGAAAUCAAGAGUUUGGAAACUACCGGCGACAUCAGCAACCAACGACGACCUGAUCAGUUGAGAAAAACAACAGUAGUUGAUGACAGACAAAUCAUAAAAGCUGUGAAAAUGAACCCUAAAAUACAUGUCUGUAAAAUCACCAUAAACCUCCAGAAAGCUGGGGUGAUGGUCUGUCAAUCUACAGUCCGCAGGAGAAUUCGACACAGAAUUACAGAAACUACACAGCAAAAUGCAAACCUCUGAUCAGCAGCAAAAAUAGAAAGGCAAGAUUCUUCACAAAGGUGAGCCAGUAUUGUAACUGAGUUGAUGGACCGAUGAGACAAAGAUUAACCUUUAUCUAAGUGAUUGGAAAGCAAAAGUGUGGAGAAAAAAAGGGAACUGCAAAUGAUACUAAGCAUACAACCGCAUCUGUAAAGCUUGGUGGAGGUGGUGUCAUGGCAUGGGCAUGCAUGGCUGUCUCUAGAACAGGACCUCUUCAUUUUAAUGAUGACUUAAUGUAUAAUGGCAGUAGCAGAAUGAAUUUGGAAGGGUACAAAAUCAUCUUGGCUACCAAUAUUCAAGAAAAUGCCACCAAACUCAUUAGAAAGCACUUCAUAUUGGAUCAAGACAAUGACCCAAAACACCCUGCCAGUUCAGUCAAGGACUUUAUCAGGGCAAAGAAAUGUAAAGUCUUAGAAUGCCCAAAUCAAUCUCCAGAUUUAAAUCCAAUUGAACAUUAAUUUUACCAUCUGAGGAGACUAAAUACAGAAAUUCUCCAAAACAAGCAACAGUUGGAAUUGGCUGCAUUAAAGCCUGGAAAAAAGCAUUUCAAAGCAUAAGACCAAGAGUCUGGUGAUGUCUGUGGGUUGCAGACUCACUGCUCUGAUUGCAUGCAAGGGAUCUGCAACUAAAUAUUAGGUUUUAAUCUUUUACAUCUGCCUUAAAUUCAGCUGUUCCAAUACUUAUGCUCACAUCAAAUAGUGGGAUGAACUCUAAAAGUGCUGUCCUUUUUAUUUGGUAAAGCAUGUAUGUGUCAAAAGACCUAAUAAUAAAAUGUGACAUUCUGUAGUUUUGUCAUUCAUCUUUUAAUCAUAUUUGCAAAUGUUUUGACUCAACAGCAGAGAAAGCAAUUUUGUCUUUACUGUUCCAAUACUUAUGGAGGGCACUGUAUAUGAUGGCAAAGCUAAAUUUUCAGCAGCCAUUACUCCAGUCUUCAUUGUAACAUUAUGCUUAAGAAAUU